GUGAGGGUCUGUGAAGUUGUCUCCAGUGUGAACAAAGAAGAAAAUAUGAACAUGAAGCAUUUGUUAACGUUGUUAACAAAUGUUGUUAAUGUUGUAUGAGAAGUCCCAGGGCUGCUGGUAUUGAUCCAGCAUUUACCUAAAGUAGCUCAUGCUUCUAUUAGAAAGGAAAACAACAUACUUGCUUGAGGGACAGGGUGGUUGUGAGAGCCAAGAAAUGUGUGUUUCCUUAUAGUGGCUGGGAGUGAGGUGUGGGAUUUAUCAUCCUGUUUAGUACCUAUGUGUUCCUUCCUCUCUACUUGCUAGUCCCAGUAAGCCCCAGGGUAACAUCUUAAGGCCACAGCAUGCCUCUGCUUAUUUGAUUGUCCAAGAGACUGGGGAAUGCUUUAAGCGAAAGUUGAGUCCAUCCACAGUUAAGGAGGGCAAGGGAAGGAUAAAACCCAGCUGCAGUUCUGUGCUGAAGCCAUGAAGCCAUCAGAAGAGGAGUCUGGUUAUUGCCUGCUGGUGAGACAGUGGCUCUCCCCAAGACUGUGCGUGUUUCAUUUCUGUUGCAGUGAUGAAAACAAAAGAAAAGAAGCAUGGCUGGUUUUCAUAAACAUGUAUUUCCUUUUUAGGCUGAGAAGGGAAUCCCCCAGGCCUUUCAUUUUCUGAGAUCAUCCAGGUGCAUCAGAGCAUUUCCAAGUCAAUUUGUCAUCAUUUCGAGGCUUGACUGCCUGUAGUAACAGGGAGGACAGUGCUGCUGGGUGACAGUCCUUUCAUGGACAGGUUCACCUCCAACCCCCAGAAUCAGAGAGACUUCCACAGGGUUCCUCCAUUUUCAGUGCUUUAAACUGAGUUGUUUUCUGUACCAAUUUUUCAGCUGCACUUUUAAUAACAUGGAAUUGCACUAAAAUGUCAGCUGGAGGAGCACAUGAAUCCCAUUCUUACACCUAAGGACAUUAUUAUGAGCCGAAGGAUUUCCCUCGCCUUUUCCUUCAUGUUCCUGAAUCCCCAGAGGUUUGUCAUCAAACAUCCUCAUUCGUGACCCCCAAGGAAAAGGUGAGUGCAGCCCAAUGUAAUUGUUGAGCGUAUUAUUGGUGUUAUCCAGCCAAUGCAGCUGGGGAAGCUGCUUUAUGGCAAGAGAGAGGCUCCCUCUGUAGUCCUGAGUGGGAGAGCUGUUUCUGGAGGAAAACUCAGAGCAGAGACAUAGCUCAGCUUUUUCCAACAGAGCUUCCUACAGAGAUUUCUUGUCCAGAUGCAAAUUCACAAACCAAACUUCAUCUUUAUGAAGGGAGGAAGGGGAAAAAAAAAAAAAAACCCAACCAAAAAAUCCCCAAAGCACAACAAGUGAAAUAUGAAUGUUCAGAUAUCCCUCAUGCUAGAAAUCACGCUGCCUGCUGCUUGUCCUAAAUAGGCCUUCUUAGGCUACAAAAGGUUAUCGCUGGUUCCUUCUGUUGUGUCGCACAGCAGCAAAUUGCAGUAAUUAUUUAUGUUUAAUUUAAAAAUGUGUUGUUUAUUUUUUCUAAUAGGUCUUCUCAACAAGUCCUGUUUUAAUAACUCUUAUUGUCCCAACCUGCUUUCUGAAAAAGCAAAAGUGUCUUUAUGACCACACCUGUUCUGUAUCACCUGUCUGACUUUUCUUCAGUAGCCACCAAUGCUGUGACGUGAGUAUAUGUAGAAAACCCUUAGUUAUCAUUUCCUUUCUGAAACUGUGUCCUCUUCCUACCUUUUCUUCUUGAAGCUGAGCUCACAGUGCUCACUGAGGACAUGACUUCUGAUUUCUCUGGUGCAUAACGCGUCGGUAUUCUCUGUAUCCUGGCCUUUUGGCUCUGGGGCAAAUGUUUAAACACCACAGAUGCUUUGAGCAGAUGUGUCCCAGAGUUUGAUCACGCUGAGCUGAUUGAAAUGACCCGUGUGUUCUCAGGCUUCCUUCCCCUCGCCAAAUGUUAAUGUUUUUGUCCUCUGGGGCAAAUUAUUCCAAUCAGUACCGGAACUGAUGCAAUAUCAAUACAGGUACCAGCACCAGGUGUGAUACCAGAACCACUCAGGGCUGGAAAAGCCAGGCUGGCAAACUCACUUCUGUGAUGAUAAAACAUAGGGACAACUUCUUCCCAUUACUGAUAACAGAGAAUUGCCCGAACACAGAGAAAAUGAAAGAAAGUACAGUGUGACUUCACCUGCUUGAAGGACACCUGUGUUGGCUGCAUUUGGAAGCUGGUAAUGCCCACAGAAGUAUUGAGGAAGAGCAGACUGAGUCCUGAUAGCAGCCCUGUGGGCAGAUCUGUGGAUCGUGUUUCAAACAGGUUUUUUUUUUGGCUCUGAUGAGCACAUGGGAUUGAAACUUAUAAGAAGAGGAGAGUGGAUCUGGAAAAACAUGGACGGAGGGGAAACUUCUUCUCUCCACAGAAGUCCUUCAAGGUGUGACUGCUGUCUUUGAUUCCAGAGGAAGGUUUGUAAGGAACAGCUGUUGUUUAGAGGAGAUGAGGAGUUUUAAAAUGUGUGUAUUUGUUUUCAGCUAAACCUUCCUGUCUUCUUCCUCUUCCCAUUGCGGCCAUGCACAGCCCUCCUCCAUGCUUGUCUCCCUGGGUAGGAGCAUCAAAGUCUCAGAGACUGUCAAAGAAAAUGUAACGAAAACCUAUCAUUUGCCCACAGCUUUUAAGUCCGGUUUCAACUCUUCUGCUAAAACAUAAAAAUGCACAGCAGAGCUUUGCAAUACUUUCAAAGAAGACAGAAAUACUGUUUUUUUUUCUAUUUUCAGGGCUUUUUAGCUGAUUCCAUCAGGUGCCACAUUCCUACCUCUAAAGUGUUGUCAGUCAAAUCCAAAUUGAUUCUGCUGAGAUCCCCCUCCCAUGUUGUCAUUUUUUAGGUAGAAGGGCUGCUUCUCAGUCUCUUCUUUCCUGGAGACUCAGCAGUUUCAGAAAUCAGUUGUUUGAAGAGGUCCCAAACAAACACCUGUGCCUAGGAACCUGAACUGGUCCUGUAAGCUUCCCAUGGUGAGACCUAGACUCUCCAAGGACAACUUGGUCUACCAAAGGUAUCUGUAGACGUCUGAAUUAUGAAAGGAUUGAGAGGAAACUCCAAACCUGUAUGACGUUGUUCUUGCAUUUGCUGACCAUCACAAGUAGCCAAAUCAGUCCUACUAUGGCUUGGAUCCUGUAUCUUGUAACCCUGGGCUCUGAACCUGCUGGUGAGCAGCUGCAAGUGGGAAAGAUGGUGCAAAACAAGGAGCACGACUGUUGGGCUAAGAAGAAAGCUUGGACACUUUCAGAAUUGUAAAGGAAAAUGGAAAGAACCUCAGAAACAUCCUUGUCACAUGGAAGAAUAAAUGAAGAUUAAAGAUAUUUAACUCCCUUAGUUACCCAGGGCACAAUUUCACCCUAAUGUACUGUGAUUCUGAUUUGCUAUGAAACCUUAGGCCACAAUAGAAAAGAAAAUGUUUUAUUACGGUCUUUUUUUUGUAUUUUUAAUUUUUUUUUUCAGAUUUUCUUGCUCUAGCUGUGAACACCUGGAAACCCAGGCAGCAUCAGCAAAGCUCAGUGCUGUUCUUGUGCUCGUCAGCCCGUGAGAGAAGCUGACUGAAGACUGUGGUGACUGGACCACAACUGCCCCAGCACAUUUAAUUUCAAGAGAGAGUCAGCUGUUUUGUCAGCAUUCUGUGAGUUGUAGUACGAACCAGCUGGCAGUUAUGCUUCUUGAAAGCUCGCUAAGUGGGAGUAGCAUGGCUGCCCAACGUGGUCUGGGUGUCAUGGUCAUGUCAAUUAGCCUAUGACCAGUGCUUAUGUUCCUCAUUCUAGGUUGAUGGUUGGACUAGAUGAUCUUAGAGGUCUUUUCCAGCCUUAAUGAUUCUGUGAUUCUAUUCUAUGAUUUUCCCAUAGGUGUGUUGUUGUUUCAUUAAGAGACGUAAUGAGGUGUUUUAGGAAGGGAUUUGUUUGUUUGUUUUGCCUUAUCUCAUGGAAUUCCCUUGUUUUCUGGGUUGCAUUUCAAUUCCAAAUUUUGUCUGGAUUCAGCCUUGAAGGGGUGUUUCAUAUUAGAUCUAUGGGAAGAAUUGAACACUACAAAAUGUGUGUUCAGAGAUGAACAGCAAUCAGCUUGACAGUUGCGUUUGACCUAAAGGAAUGAGCUAAUCUAUUCUUGGUAGUUCAGGUUUUGGGUAUCAUAGAAUUCUUACACAGGACAAGUUUGCUGGCUCAUUUUCCUGGUGUAUGCAAUAAGGAUAUAUAUUUAUUCUAGAAAAACACUUAGCCAGAAGGAACACAACAUGUAGUGAAAGAUAAAUUAUGCAGAUAAUGUUCUAUUAUGCACACAGAGUAAAAAGUACAAGGGACAUGAAUUUCCCCAGGGAGACACCUCAGAGCGGGGGAGGCUGGGACAACACAAAAAAAUAAAAUAAAAUAAGGAAAAAGAGGAAGAGGAAAAUGAAUUGACUGUAGUUAGGUCUGGCAGAUUUUGCUUAAAGGAGGAGGAAGACUGAAUGAGCAAAGAAUUGUACCAGGGGGCAAGUCCCUCUAAAGAAAUGGCUGUGUAUUGGCUAUGUCACUUGUCAAGGUCACUGCUCUUACUCAUGAGGACAGGGCUUUGACCCUGCAGGUAUUUAUGGGGCUUGGAGUGGGUGACUGGGAAGUGUAAAAAGCAUCAGUGUAGAGUAGAGAACAGCUGGCAGCUUCUCUUCCCUCCAGGCUUUCCCUGUGUUCUAAGGUGGGGAAUGCAGAAGCUUUUUGAGUUCUGGUUUGUGCAAUAUGGCCCAGUGAGGUCUGGCAGCAUGCAUUCCUGUGCGUUGUGAAGCAGUGCAAGAUCUCUGCAGCAGACAAAGCAACCCCUGCUCUUCUCAGAGAUGGACACGGAAGCCUUGCUGAGAGUGGAAUAAUAACUAUUUUGAGCAUCAGAACGUGGAGGGAGUCUGAGUGGGCAGUAACACUGCAUCAGGAACAAGAAGGCAACAGCAAGAAGUUGUUUCUCUCUUGUUCACCCCUAAAGCUAUACCUUGCAUCAGCAGGUCUCAAAGCUGGCGGUUUUGAAUCAGUCCCUGCUGCUGCUUGCUCUGGUGCUCAGUUCCACUGCAGCAGUCCUUCUGACAUGUUUGUGCUUCUCUUCACAGUGCAGCAGCCUGAAUUGUACUUAAGUGGGCAAAUUAAGGGAAUAAGGGGCUCAUUUAGUGAUGCUGUAUGGAGAAUUCUGUCUCCUGCAGACCUGGCCAAUGUGAUCAGAAGAACUCACAGGUGAUAUUGGACCAAAAGUGUGGGCCCCACCUCACCCCACUGUCCAAGAAGACUGUUAAUGUUGAGGAUUGUCUCUAGAAGCCACAUCCAGAAAGUGUUUCUGCUCCUUUCGCUGUGGAAUGAAAGCUGUACAUCACAAACUGGGACAGUAAGGAAUAACCAGCCUACCUGGCAGCAAUGAGAAACAUCCCUGAUGGCUUCCUUUGGCCAAGAGCAGCUAAUCACAAGCUAAAAUUCCUAUAAUGCAGGAGAUAGGAAUGCACGGCACAAGGAGAGCUCAUGACCUGAGAAACAGGAUCUACACGUGAGUAAAUCUGGAGGAUGAAGGUGACUGCCCAUCACCAGCUGUUCUGAGUGGAAAUCUAGCACAGCAGAAUGCUGGGGCCAGGAAGGACAGCAUUUGCACAGUGCACACUGCCCACUGGAUAGAGUGCUUUUUCAGAGCUGUGUCUUUACACCUUUGCAAUCCAAGUAAAG
ensembl:lncRNA